GUGGCUGUUGCUCAGUGGUAGAGCGCUCAUCUAACACGUGCAAGGCCCUGGGUUCGAUUCUCAGCACCACA
rnacentral:tRNA from 1 species